GACGAACGCUGUCGGCGUGCUUAACACAUGCAAGUCGAACGGAAAGGCCCUGCUUUUGUGGGGUGCUCGAGUGGCGAACGGGUGAGUAACACGUGAGUAACCUGCCCUUGACUUUGGGAUAACUUCAGGAAACUGGGGCUAAUACCGGAUAGGAGCUCCUGCUGCAUGGUGGGGGUUGGAAAGUUUCGGCGGUUGGGGAUGGACUCGCGGCUUAUCAGCUUGUUGGUGGGGUAGUGGCUUACCAAGGCUUUGACGGGUAGCCGGCCUGAGAGGGUGACCGGCCACAUUGGGACUGAGAUACGGCCCAGACUCCUACGGGAGGCAGCAGUGGGGAAUAUUGCACAAUGGGCGGAAGCCUGAUGCAGCAACGCCGCGUGCGGGAUGACGGCCUUCUGGUUGUAAACCGCUUUCGCCUGUGACGAAGCGUGAGUGACGGUAAUGGGUAAAGAAGCACCGGCUAACUACGUG
rnacentral:rRNA from 1 species